rnacentral:rRNA from 1 species
UACGUAGGGCGCAAGCGUUGUCCGGAAUUAUUGGGCGUAAAGAGCUCGUAGGCGGCCUGUUGCGUCCGCUGUGAAAUCCCGGGGCUUAACCCCGGGCGUGCAGUGGAUACGGGCAGGCUGGAGGCAGGCAGGGGAGAACGGAAUUCCCGGUGUAGCGGUGAAAUGCGCAGAUAUUGGGAGGAACACCGGUGGCGAAGGCGGUUCUCUGGGCCUGUACUGACGCUGAGGAGCGAAAGCGUGGGGAGCGAACAGG